UACGUAGGGGGCUAGCGUUGUCCGGAAUCAUUGGGCGUAAAGCGCGUGUAGGCGGUUCGGUAAGUCCGCUGUGAAAGUCGGGGGCUCAACCCUCGAAAGCCGGUGGAUACUGUCGGGCUAGAGUACGGAAGAGGCGAGUGGAAUUCCUGGUGUAGCGGUGAAAUGCGCAGAUAUCAGGAAGAACACCUAUGGCGAAGGCAGCUCUCUGGGACGGUACUGAUGCUGAGACGCGAAGCGUGGGGAGCGAACAGG
rnacentral:rRNA from 1 species